rnacentral:rRNA from 1 species
CUACGGGAUGCUCCAGUAGGGAAUUUUCGGCAAUGGGGGAAACCCUGACCGAGCAACGCCGCGUGAAUGACGAAGUACUUCGGUAUGUAAAGUUCUUUUAUUAGGGAAGAAUGGCAGGUGGAAAAACCUGAUUGACGGUACCUAAUGAAUAAGCCCCGGCUAACUAUGUGCCAGCAGCCGCGGUAAUACAUAGGGGGCAAGCGUUAUCCGGAAUUAUUGGGCGUAAAGGGUGUGUAGGUGGUUAUUUAAGUCUUUGGUGUAAGUGCAGUGCUUAACGCUGUGAUGCUAAAGAAACUGGGUAACUUGAGUGUGGUAGAGGCAAGUGGAAUUCCAUGUGUAGCGGUAAAAUGCGUAAAUAUAUGGAGGAACACCAGUGGCGAAGGCGGCUUGCUGGGCCACAACUGACACUGAGGCACGAAAGCGUGGGGAGCAAACAGGAUUAGAUACCCGGGUAGUC